CCCUCCUGGGGACUCACCUUUCCUCCCGCUGUCCGGAGCCUCGGCGACACCAGCAAAUGCGGGGAAGAGCGCCAUGGUCACAGGCCGCACCGCCUCCUCACCCACAAAGAUGGCGCCGGGAGCCCGAGGCCGACCCUAGGUAAUUCCUUAGAAGAUAACAUUCGUUUCACAAUCCUGUAAGGGAGUCACCGAUGACCCACCACACAGCUUUUUUCAGGGAAUGAAGGGACAAAGGAACGUCUUAAACACAAGUAGAGGGUAUAAUCAGCACAACUCUGACUCUGGGAAACCGUGGCGCAAACUACCUGGUUUCAUCAACAAAUAAAGUACAAGAAAAAAACAAUAAUAAUAAAGCGAGGAGCCAAAAGGAGAUAUGCAGGAAAAGAGACUUGAAGGACUUCACAAGUGGUCCAGCGGUUAAAAGUCCGCCUGCCAAUGAGGGGACGCUGAUUUGGUCUCUGGUCUGGGAAGAUCCCACAUGCCUCGGGCCAGCUGAGCCCCUGCACCGCUGAGCCUUUGCUCUAGACCCUGGGGGCCGAAACUGCUGAGCCCGCAUGCCCUGAGGCCCCGGCUCCCCACAGGAGAAGCCACGCGAUGAGACGCCUGCACCCCGCAACUAGAGAAAGGCCCAUGCAGCAGUGAAAACCCUGCGCAGCCAAAAAUAAAUAGAAAAACUGCCCCAGAAAUCUUGACCUCAAUAAAGUGAACAGACUGGCCUUGAAGAAUGAAAAAGACAUCGGCAUGAGACAGGGGCUGAAAGCCAUAGAAGAGUCUUUAAGAAAUGUUGUUUGAGACACAACAUGAACAGAAAGAUUGUCAAGAGACAGUUAGACGCCAAGUAGGUAGGUGUGUGUGCGCAGUACUUGUUUUCUGGUAAAAUAGCACCUACAUAGUUCACAACAAGGAUAUCAAACCAGUCAAUCCUAAAGGAAAUCAAUCCUGAAUAUUCACUGGAAAGACUGAUCUAAAGCUGAAGCUUCAAUACUUUGGCCACCUGAUGCGAAGA